AAGAAAAACCACCGUAUAACAACGCUUAAUGUACAACCCUUCAGAUAUGUGUUGUAAAAAUUUAUCUUAGAUACACAAUAUAUGCGUUGCCCCCUUGGUCGUUGCAGAAAGCGUGAUUGUUAAAAAUUGGAAAGCGCGCAUGAGGAAAAUUUUGGGUGCCGCAGCGGGAGCUAUUUGGGCGCUCACGAAAUUUUCAUUUGUAUUGCAACUAGGCCCAGGCGGGUGCAUGCCUUAUCUUCUCCCAUCCCGGUCUAGUGCUAGUCCUGCAACUGCAAUCGAUCAGUGCUCGUCCGAUCUACCAGCGUCCUCCGCGCCGCCUCCCACCACCGUGCCCCUCCCUACUCAUCUACAUGUGCCCUUCCCAUCCGCGCCGCACUCCAUCACGACUGCCCCCGUCGGCAUCAGUAGGACUUGUGGGCGGUGGAGUGGAUCGACCUGCCUCUCGCUCCUCUGGCUGAUCUGGAUGGAGGUUUGACGGCGCUGCGGCACCAGCGCCCUUUCGACUCCACGACGCCGGCAUAGGUGCUCCAGCGAACCGAACGCACACUGGAUGCCCAGCACCCAGCCGCCACCGUAGCAUAGGGUUUCUGCACUGCCAGUAGCCAUCACCAGACAUCGUUGUUGUCCUGCCGCUGUUGGUUUGCUGUUUCAAACGAACAGGUUAGUCCUGCUAUUGUUGUUUCUCUAAUCUGCAGUACAUGGUGGAAGACGUAGUAUGCUGAUCGUGGUGGAUCUGUAGUGCUGCUAGCUAUGGGUUUGACAUGAAACCAGGUUAGUCCUGCUAUUGUUGUUUCUCUAAUCUGCGGUACAUGGUGGAAGACGUAGUAUGCUGAUCGUGGUGGAUCGGUAGUGCUGCUAGCUAGGGUUUUGACAUGAAACCAGGUUUCUUGUUCUUUUACCUGCCUAACUGAAGCCAGAAAGGAGUGAUUGUAAUCAUGGGACAUGUGGGGCGGACAAGACAAUAUCUCAGAUCGAUUCAACUGUGCUUAGUUAAAGAAAAAUAAUGACUCAUGUGUGCAGCUUGUGCGUUUCUUGGUCAGCAACAAUGAUGAUGUGAUCCUUCCUUACUUUAUAGUAGAUGACCGGAGGCAGCUGGAGCUGGGCAGGCUACCAACAGAUUGCAUACCAUAUCUGCAGCAGACAAGCUAUAUUUGUUUGUAGAUUGGCAAGCUCCAUUAUUUAUUUGGAAUUCAGGCAAUUAAAUAUUGAGUUGAACAACUGGACUUACCAUUGAUUACUGGAAACAUUGCACUAGGGGCAGAAGUGAGUAGCUAACAUAGUUUUUCUGGUCAUUGAUUGGAUUAGCUAGUAAGGCAUUAUGGAUCUAUAGAGGUAAAUAUAGAAGGGGAGAAGGGCUAUUGUAGGAACGACAUCCAUAUAUCCAGAAUUCGAUGGGAGGCGGCAUGGAGAAGACAUAAUUAAUUGUUUCACUUUAUUUCUUAGACGUAGUUUGGUGAAAAUGUGUCAUGAUGCAUACAGAUAACUACAUGAUUCGUUGUUUAAUGUUCAGUUUCCAUCAACAUGAUGUAUGUAACCCAGAUUGUAUUUCGAAUUUCAGUGAA